GAUGAAGAACGUAGCGAAAUGCGAUAAGUAGUGUGAAUUGCAGAAUUCAGUGAAUCAUCGAAUCUUUGAACGCACAUUGCGCCCUUUGGUAUUCCUUAGGGCAUGCCUGUUCGAGCGUCAUUUAAACCUUCAAGCUAAGCUUGGUGUAGGGUGACUGUCCGCUUCACGGCGGACUCGCCUCAAAAUUAUUGGCGGCCGGUACAUUGGCUUCGAGCGCAGCAGAAACGCGAACUCGGGCCCGUCGUAUUGGCUCCCAGAAGCUAUCUUCACAAUUUUGACCUCGGAUCAGGUAGGGAUACCCGCUGAACUUAAGCAUAUCAAUAAGCGGAGGA
rnacentral:misc_RNA from 1 species